AGGAGAUCACUAAUAGAGUACAAACACAAUCUUAUAUACUUUUGAAGGUUCCUUGGUGAUAAGGGGGAGAUAGUGUUGUAGUUUCAAAGAGUGGUGCAUUAGCUAUCCACUUGAUUUUGGAGAAGUUCUUAUCACCAUAGAUCGUCUUUAGUGAUAAUUAAGGAUAAAGCGUAGUAGUGCAGGUGUUUCACCAACUAUAUUGGUUCUAUUAUUUUUCCUAUAAAUUUGGUUAUGAUUUUAAUAGGCUUUUAUCUACUUUUUUCAAUUGACAAACACACAUUCACUUUUGAAGAGACAAUUUUUCAUAUGUAAGAAUCUUUGGUAUUUAUUAGGACUUGCUAAAAAAUUCGUAGGUGGUUUAGAUCAAGGUAGCACUGGGAAGAAGCAAUCAAGUAAGUACUUUAUUUUAUUAUCAUGAUUUUUUUUCUUGCUAUUUUUAUAAUUCUUAUAUAAUUAUGUUUUUUUUUUGUGUGUGUAGGUACUUGCAAUUAUGUUUUUACCUCUUUUCGGGUAAUCUUAUUUAUUAAAAUAAAAAAAGUGAGUCAAUUUAUGGAGUUUUAUGUCAUUGUUAAGAUGAUCAAAUACAUACACAUACCUACU
rnacentral:lncRNA from 1 species